rnacentral:rRNA from 1 species
UACGAAGGGGGCUAGCGUUGCUCGGAAUCACUGGGCGUAAAGGGUGCGUAGGCGGGUCUUUAAGUCAGGGGUGAAAUCCUGGAGCUCAACUCCAGAACUGCCUUUGAUACUGAGGAUCUUGAGUUCGGGAGAGGUGAGUGGAACUGCGAGUGUAGAGGUGAAAUUCGUAGAUAUUCGCAAGAACACCAGUGGCGAAGGCGGCUCACUGGCCCGGUACUGACGCUGAGGUGCGAAAUCGUGGGGAGCAAACAGG